UGGGGGAUAUUGCACAAUGGGCGAAAGCCUGAUGCAGCGACGCCGCGUGGGGGAUGAAGGCCUUCGGGUUGUAAACUUCUUUUGCUCUGAACAAGGCAUGCUAAUGGGUGUGUUGAGUGUAGGGGUUGAUUAGCGCCGGCUAACUACGUGCCAGCAGCCGCGGUAAUACGUAGGGCGCGAGCGUUGUCCGGAAUUAUUGGGCGUAAAGGGCUUGUAGGUGGCUGGUUGCGUCUGUCGUGAAAGCUCAUGGCUUAACUGUGGGUUUGCGGUGGGUACGGGCUGGCUUGAGUGCAGUAGGGGAGGCUGGAAUUCCUGGUGUAGCGGUGGAAUGCGCAGAUAUCAGGAGGAAUACCGAUGGCGAAGGCGGGUCUCUGGGCUGUUACUGACACUGAGGAGCGAAAGCAUGGGGAGCGAACAGG
rnacentral:rRNA from 1 species